CUGAUUCUUUCAGAGCCUGGACACAACACUGCCAAGUGUCCUGAAAGAGUGCCAAUUGAAACCCAACAGGAUCAAGCACCUCAUGAGGAGGGACAUACUCAAAAGGAACAACAUAAAAGAAUCAAGAAAAAGGCUGGAAAAAGAAAGGCCACUGAACCUACAAUGGAAUCAUUGUCUGAAACUGAAUGAUUGGAACAAGCUACAUCUAUUGGAUCUCGGCAUAAAAAUAUUCUCCCACCAUUGCAAGUGCAGAUUGAAGAUGAGCAACCUGAAGCAUGCUUAACACAAAUCAAAUGCAACCUGCACCUGCACCCCCUCCAUCAGUGUUCAUGCCUGGCCCAUCAAUGUUUCAACAAUUACAAAUGACCAACCCGCAAUCAACUUCGCAAUCAAGAGUCACAAUCCGUGCACCUCCACCUUUUAGAGGCAGACAAAUAUUUCCAUCACUUUCUAUAAAGCCAUGUUCUAGAACAA